AAAUGAAUUGACGGGGGCCCGCACAAGCGGUGGAGCAUGUGGUUUAAUUCGAUGCAACGCGAAGAACCUUACCUACCCUUGACAUCCUGGGGACCCUGUAGAGAUACGGGGGUGCCUUCGGGAACCCAGAGACAGGUGCUGCAUGGCUGUCGUCAGCUCGUGUCGUGAGAUGUUGGGUUAAGUCCCGUAACGAGCGCAACCCUUGUGCCUAGUUGCCAUCAUUUAGUUGGGGACUCUAGGCAGACUGCCGGUGACAAACCGGAGGAAGGUGGGGAUGACGUCAAGUCCUCAUGGCCCUUAUGGGUAGGGCUACACACGUGCUACAAUGGGCAGAACAAAGGGAAGCGAAGCCGAGAGGCGGAGCGGAUCUCAAAAAACUGUUCGUAGUCCGGAUUGGGGCCUGCAACUCGGCCCCAUGAAGUCGGAAUCGCUAGUAAUCGCGGAUCAGAAUGCCGCGGUGAAUACGUUCCCGGGCCUUGUACACACCGCCCGU
rnacentral:rRNA from 1 species